rnacentral:rRNA from 1 species
GAAUUCGCCCUUAGAGUUUGAUCCUGGCUCAGGAUGAACGCUGGCGGCGUGCUUAACACAUGCAAGUCGAACGGAGGACCCCUGACGGAGUUUUCGGACAACUGAAGGGAAUCCUUAGUGGCGGACGGGUGAGUAACGCGUGAGCAACCUACCUUGGAGUGGGGAAUAACAGCUGGAAACAGCUGCUAAUACCGCAUGAUAUGUCUGUAUCACAUGGUACUGGACAUCAAAGAUCUAUCGCUCUGAGAUGGGCUCGCGUCUGAUUAGCUAGUUGGUGAGGUAACGGCCCACCAAGGCGACGAUCAGUAGCCGGACUGAGAGGUUGGCCGGCCACAUUGGGACUGAGACACGGCCCAGACUCCUACGGGAGGCAGCAGUGGGGAAUAUUGGGCAAUGGGCGCAAGCCUGACCCAGCAACGCCGCGUGAAGGAAGAAGGCUCUCGGGUUGUAAACUUCUUUUAUCAGGGACGAAGCAAGUGACGGUACCUGAUGAAUAAGCCACGGCUAACUACGUGCCAGCAGCCGCGGUAAUACGUAGGUGGCAAGCGUUAUCCGGAUUUACUGGGUGUAAAGGGCGUGUAGGCGGGAAAGCAAGUCAGAUGUGAAAACCAUGGGCUCAACCUGUGGCCUGCAUUUGAAACUGUUUUUCUUGAGUACUGGAGAGGCAGACGGAAUUCCUAGUGUAGCGGUGAAAUGCGUAGAUAUUAGGAGGAACACCAGUGGCGAAGGCGGCUUGCUGGACUGUAACUGACGUUGAGGCUCGAAAGCGUGGGGAGCAAACAGGAUUAGAUACCCUGGUAGUCCACGCAGUAAACGAUGAAUGCUAGUUGUCCGGGGCGAUUGAGUUCUGGGUGACACAGCGAAAGCGUUAAGCAUUCCACCUGGGGAGUACGCCGGCAACGGUGAAACUCAAAGGAAUUGACGGGGGCCCGCACAAGCGGAGGAACAUGUGGUUUAAUUCGAUGAUACGCGAGGAACCUUACCCGGGCUCAAACGUUGCAGGAAGGGCUUCUGAAAGGAAGCCCGUCUACGGACCUGCAACGAGGUGCUGCAUGGUUGUCGUCAGCUCGUGCCGUGAGGUGUCGGCUUAAGUGCCAUAACGAGCGCAACCCCUACCGCCAGUUGCCAACAGGCAAAGCUGGGGACUCUGGCGGGACUGCCGGCGCAAGCUGCGAGGAAGGCGGGGAUGACGUCAAAUCAGCACGGCCCUUACGUCCGGGGCGACACACGUGUUACAAUGGCAGGUACAGCGGGAAGCCACCUGGCGACAGGGAGCGGAACCCGAAAGCCUGUCUCAGUUCGGAUUGGAGUCUGCAACCCGACUCCAUGAAGCUGGAUUCGCUAGUAAUCGCGCAUCAGCCACGGCGCGGUGAAUACGUUCCCGGGCCUUGUACACACCGCCCGUCA